rnacentral:tRNA from 1 species
UAGCCUAGUGGUUAAGGCUAUGGAUCGCCAUUCCGGAGACGGCGGGUUCAAUUCCCGU